GGUCGCCACGUUAAGCUGGAAGCCUACGAACGCGAUUCUGUGCGUGUACGGCAAUGUGAAGAAGCAUCGCCUCAAAUCCGACGCACUCCCGUCUUUGUUCCUUCCUGGUGAAAAGCACCACACACUGCCCACGAAAAGUGUCGGAGUUUGUGGCAGUCUUGGCACCUUCUGCUAGCCAGUGAAACGCCCACGGGGGUCGACGCAAUUCAGUCGGCCGAACUACAUCGGAG